UACGGAGGGUGCGAGCGUUGUCCGGAAUCAUUGGGCGUAAAGCGCGCGCAGGCGGUCCUUUAAGUCUGAUGUGAAAGCCCACGGCUCAACCGUGGAGGGUCAUUGGAAACUGGGGGACUUGAGUGCAGAAGAGGAAAGCGGAAUUCCACGUGUAGCGGUGAAAUGCGUAGAGAUGUGGAGGAACACCAGUGGCGAAGGCGGCUUUCUGGUCUGUAACUGACGCUGAGGCGCGAAAGCGUGGGGAGCAAACAGG
rnacentral:rRNA from 1 species